GGUGCCCUGCGAUGCGCGGGAUUGCUCUAAGAUGUUCGGAGCCGACAAGCAUAUGCUUGGAGAACAUGCUCGAUGCCCAUAAAACGGCGGAGGCUCAUCUCACUUUUCAGUUCGGGGCUCCGGAACUCUGUCGGCACUCGGCAUUCGCGGGGAGCUU
rnacentral:other from 1 species